AGUCAUAUGCUUGUCUCAAAGAUUAAGCCAUGCAUGUCUAAGUACAGGCCGAUCUACGGCUAAACCGCGGACGGCUCAUUAAAUCAGAUAUAAUUCAUUGGAUCUGUAGAACCCCACUUACUUGGAUAACUGUGGUAAUUCUAGAGCUAAUACAUGCCUUUAGAGACUCUGACAGCAAUGGAAGAGCGCUUUUAUUAGUUCCAAAACCUUUCGGACCUUGGGCCGUAAGACUUGGUGAAUCUAGAUAACCUCUGCUGAGCGCACGUCCUCGCGACGGCGCCGCAUCUUGCAAGUGUCUGCCUUAUCAGCUCUCGAUUGUAGGUUAAACGCCUACAAUGGCUAUAACGGGUAACGGGGAAUCAGGGUUCGAUUCCGGAGAGGGAGCCUGAGAAACGGCUACCACAUCUAAGGAAGGCAGCAGGCGCGCAAAUUACCCACUCCCGGCACGGGGAGGUAGUGACGAAAAAUACUGUAGCGAGACUCCAUCGAGGCUUCGCUAUUGGAAUGAGUACACUUUAAAUCCUUGUACGAGGAUCGAGUGGAGGGCAAGUCUGGUGCCAGCCGCCGCGGUAAUUCCAGCUCCAUUAGCGUAUAUUAAAGUUGUUGCGGUUAAAACGCUCGUAGUUGGCUCUCUGUUCUGGACUGGCGGUGCACCUUAGCGGUGCUACUGUACAGCUCCGAGCUACACACCCGCCGGCUCGCCCGGGGUGCUCUUCACCGAGUGUCCCUAGUGGCCGGCACGUUUACCUUGAAAAAAUUAGAGUGCUCAGAGCAGGCUAACCUAACAGCCUGAAUGGUGGUGCAUGGAAUGAUGGAAUAGGACCUCGGUUCUAUUUUGUUGGUUUUCGGAACCCGAGGUAAUGAUUAAGAGAAGCAGACGGGGGCAUUCGUACUGCGACGAUAGAGGUGAAAUUCUUAGACCGUCGCAUGACGAGCUACUGCGAAAGCAUUUGCCAAGGAUGUUUUCAUUAAUCAAGAACGAAAGUUAGAGGUUCGAAGGCGAUCAGAUACCGCCCUAGUUCUAACCAUAAACGAUGCUGACUAGCGAUCCGCCGCAGUUAUUCCCAUGACCCGGCGGGGAGCUUCCGGGAAACCAAAGUAUUUGAGUUCCGGGGGAAGUAUGGUUGCAAAGCUGAAACUUAAAGGAAUUGACGGAAGGGCACCACCAGGAGUGGAGCCUGCGGCUCAAUUUGACUCAACACGGGGAACCUUACCAGGCCCAGACACUGGAAGGAUUGACAGAUUGAAAGCUCUUUCUCGAUUCGGUGGGUGGUGGUGCAUGGCCGUUCUUAGUUGGUGGAGUGAUUUGUCUGGUUAAUUCCGAUAACGAACGAGACUCUAGCCUAUUAACUAGUCGGUGGAUAUACAAGUUCCAUAUUAUGGUACAAAUACCGUGAACGUAGUUCUUCUGACUCGGCGGUCCUGGUUGUGGGUAAGUGCGGCCUGCUUGCUCGGUGUGGAGUUCAUGCGUACUUCGGUGCGCGCUUCCCCGAGUCUGUAGUGUUCGUAUCUCGCUCAUUGCCACCCGUCGGGAAGGUCGUGACUGCAGAUCUGAUCGGUGUCUAAACCGCAGCUUCUUCUUAGAGGGAUAAGCGGCAGCAAAUAAAAUACUAGCCGCACGAGAGAUUGAGCCAUAACAGGUCUGUGAUGCCCUUAGAUGUUCUGGGCCGCACGCGCGCUACAAUGGAGAGUUCAGCAAGCUCUUCCUGCUCCGACAGGAGUGGGUAACCUUCUGAAAGCUGUCCUUAAAGGGGAUUGGGGCUUGCAAAUAUGUCCCAUGAACGAGGAAUUCCCAGUAGGCGCAAUUCACCAGAUUGCACCGAUUUAGUCCCUGCCCUUUGUACACACCGCCCGUCGCUACUACCGAUUGAAUGGUCUAGUGAGGGCAUCGGACUGGCGCUCUUGGAGUGGUCGCCUUGACUUCAUACGUGUAAGGCCUUCGGGUCCCUGCACGAGGUCCUGGUGCCGCCUCGAGUCGACGGAAAGAUGUCCGAGCUGGGUCAUUUAGAGGAAGUAAAAGUCGUAACAAGGUUUCCGU
rnacentral:rRNA from 1 species